rfam:Solanum tuberosum cultivar DM 1-3 516 R44 scf00264_20, whole genome shotgun sequence.
UUGAAGGAUUCGAAGACUUCAACUUGCAUACUUAGAGGAUUUGAAGACUUCAACUUGCAUAUUUGGAGGAUUUGAAGACUUCAACU